rnacentral:rRNA from 1 species
CAUUGCAAACUCCGAAUACUGAGAAAUGCAAUUACGGGAGACAGACCAUGGGUGCUAACGUCCGUGGUCAAGAGGGAAACAACCCAGACCGACAGCUAAGGUCCCAAAUGACGUGCUAAGUGGAAAACGAAGUGGGAAGGCAUAGACAGCCAGGAUGUUGGCUUAGAAGCAGCCAUCAUUUAAAGAAAGCGUAAUAGCUCACUGGUCGAGUCGUCCUGCGCGGAAGAUGUAACGGGGCUAAGCACGUAACCGAAGCUUCGGAUGCUGCACUAUUUAUAGUGUAUGCAUGGUAGGAGAGCGUUCUGUAGGCCUGCGAAGGUGUUCUGUGAGGAAUGCUGGAGGUAUCAGAAGUGCGAAUGCUGACAUGAGUAGCGAUAAAGGGAGUGAAAAGCUCCCUCGCCGAAAACCCAAGGUUUCCUACGCAACGUUCAUCGGCGUAGGGUGAGUCGGCCCCUAAGGUGAGGCAGAGAUGCGUAGCUGAUGGGAAACAGGUUAAUAUUCCUGUACCUGUAUACAAUGCGAUGUGGGGACGGAGAAGGUUAGGUCAGCCGGGUGUUGGAUGUCCCGGUUCAAGCGUGUAGGCAGAUUCUUUAGGCAAAUCCGGAGAGUUAAUGCUGAGGCGUGAUAACGAGCGUACUUGUACGUGAAGUGAUUGAUACCAUGCUUCCAAGAAAAGCCACUAAGCUUCAGUUGUAUAGAGACCGUACCGCAAACCGACACAGGUGGGUAGGAUGAGAAUUCUAAGGCGCUUGAGAGAACCCGGGAGAAGGAACUCGGCAAAUUAGCACCGUAACUUCGGGAGAAGGUGCGCCCUUGGUAUGUGAAGAGACUUGCUCUUGGAGCAGAAGAGGGUUGCAGUGAAAAGGUGGCUGCGACUGUUUAAUAAAAACACAGCACUCUGCAAACACGAAAGUGGACGUAUAGGGUGUGACGCCUGCCCGGUGCUGGAAGAUUAAAUGAUGGGGUGCAAGCUCUUGAUUGAAGUCCCAGUAAACGGCGGCCGUAACUAUAACGGUCCUAAGG